rnacentral:lncRNA from 1 species
GUCCCAUUGCCAAUUUGUGAACUGUUCUCUGAGAGUCUUGUAGCUCCUUUGCCCAUUGAAAGAUGGAAAGAGCCGUUCAAUGGUGUACUAGUCAGCUUUCUGUUACUGUAACAAAACACCUGAGAUAAUUACCUUAGAAAAGAUUUAUUAACUUCAUGGUUUUGGAAGUUACAAGCUCUGAUCCACUGGCCCCAUUGCUUUGGCCUCCGGUGGGGGUGCUAGAUGGCAGUGUCACGUGUGUGCUCUGAAGCAAAACCACCCACAUCAUGAGCCAGGAAGCAGAGAGAAAGGGCACACCCUUCCUGAGGGCCUCCCACCAAGCUCCCCCUCCUAGAAGUCCCACCACCUCCUGAUAGCACUACCCUGGGAGCUGAGCUUUGAGCAUGUGGACCUUUGGGGGCUGCUUAUCCAAACCACAGCAGUAAAUCCCCAGCUAAGCAAGUUGAAUAAGCCCUGUGGUCUGAUUGAUGCACAGCGUCAUGCCCACAGCAAACAGCAGUGUCAUGCACUUAGGUGGUAGGUCUCAUGGUAAGGGUUCUUACCACAAUAAGAUAAAAAUGAAUAGGCAGCAGGUGAAUUAAGUCGUACAGAGA